GGGGAUGUGGCUCAGUGGUAGAGUGUUUGCUUAGCAUGCACGAGGCUCUGGGUUCAAUCUUCAGCACCACA
rnacentral:tRNA from 1 species